rnacentral:lncRNA from 1 species
CCCCAAGUUCUCAAUGGGAGCAGAGACUAUCGCACAGUGCCAGUAGAGAGACACCGAUGAAGUGUCAGUCAUGCUGGUGGCUGGCAGAGACGGCAGAGCAGAGCGUGACAUGCCAGUGUUUUUUCCUGAGGGGAUGUGUGUUUUCUUGGUCUUGGAUCCAAAGCAGGGCGGUGUAACUGGGUGAUUCAACAUCACUGUUAUAGUGAUAGGAAGAGACACGGAGGAUUUUGCAACAAGUGCAAGUUCGGAGGCUCAUCAUUUGAAGACGGAAAAGUGGUGCUGGUGAACCCUUGUACACAUAACCAGGCCUCUAUCCCAUAUAGAGGCAGGAGGACAGUCUCACCAGUAAGGAGGACCAGCCAUGUCUGGUACUAU